AACAAGAUGCUGGAGUAGAUGAGCCAUUGUCCUGAAACUCUUCUUACGUUCUUAUGCAGGAAAUCCGAGACCAUGUGGGUAAACUGGUCAAAAGGACUGGUUAAAGAAUCAGAUGAAGAGAGUAGAAAUAAAUAGACAAUUCUCACAAUGGAGGGGUAGAAGAAGUGGGGGUUCCCCAAGGAUCUGUACUGGGACUGGUGUUUUUUUAAAAUGUUUUUAAAAAAGAGGGCUGAACAGUGUGGUGGCCAAGCUUUUGAUGAAAUCCAGCUAUUCAAGGUGGUUUACGGAAAUGGGAUUGUUAGUAGCUCCAGAGGAAUAGGUAUUAAAAUUUCAAAUUUGGUUCAGUAUAAGCAAAUGUAAAGUGGUGGUGGUUGUGGAAUCCUAAAUUCACAUAUACAGAGAUGAGGUCUGAGGUGGUGGGUGGUGGAUCAGGAAAGAGAUUGCGGUGAAGAGCUUGAUGAAAACAAUGGCUAUGUACACACCAACCUCUUCAUUGCACGAAAAUACAGGUUUUUUUCUCAACCCUGUAUCAUUCAUGCUCAUCCUCAGCAUACUGCUGUCAAUCUAGAUUGCGUCCAGAUCCUGCCAUCCACAAGGGCUGGCGUUAGUUACUUGAUAUGUGUUUGAAAACACUUGUAUGGAUUAGGUUAUCAAUGCCUUUUCCUCCCUGAACAUGCUCCAGGUGAAUGAAGACGGAAGUCGUGUUUGUGAUCUUGGUAUACACCAAGCCACAGUUCCAUUCAUUGGACAGGUGUGGCUACACGCCAUUGCCAAGACCACCUACAUCUGUUUUCAAAUGGACACACUUUGCCGGUGAGGUAAAGCAAAACCAAUCUGCAGCGAGCAGAUGGAAGGAGAAAGUGGGAAGCAGCAUCUCUCUUCCAAUUUCCUCCUUCUGUGUACUUUCCAGGUGAGAAAAAGGUAACCACCCUCACCCCUUCCUUUGUUACCAAGUGAAGAGUGGAGAAGGGUUGUCAUGUUGACCACUCCAACUUAAUCAUAUCCUGACAUUUCCAUUUUUAAACGAAAAUCCAGAAAUGCUCCAUAAUAAAGGUGAUAGUAAAAAGUAUCUCAUCAACUAUGGACUCUGUGGACAAUGCAAUCGUUUAUUUUAAUGAUUAAUUAAAAGUAAAUGACGACUAGGGAGUUAAUUCCCAAUGAUUUAUGAACCUAUUUCCCCUGUUUGGCAUUUGUCCUGAACAGGAGGGGGGGGACCUGUUUGCAGGGGUUGUAUUUGUCUCUUACAUUUCUUCUCCCCCUUAACUCCUACAGCUAUGCUGCUUAGCCAGGAUUUAUCCAUCUCUCAUUGCUCAGCUCACGCCAAAAAUAAAGCAGUAUCAACACAGGCUCUGAGAACUUUGUGAACACAGUGGAACACAAAUGGAGCUAUGCGCUGAGGGUUCUGCCAACUUUUACAUUUACUGAAAUCUUUGCAGAAGCACAAGCACAGUUCUUCAGAAUUGUCCAGGAUGAUUGUUGCUGCAUGACGGUUCUGAAAGGUAGAAAGGGCAAAGAAAAAUGUAAACACUAGGACCUGAGCACAGAUUGGAUUAGAUUCACUCUUUUAACUGUGUCUUAGAUGGAGACCGGUUUGGGGGAGAACUCUGAUUUUGUUUGCAUAUAAAGGCAAGCCUGCUUUAGUCACACUUUCCAAAAGAGAAUGUGAACUGAAACACGGUCAUCUGUUGAAAUAUGUAAGUUUUGCAAUGCCAAGUAAGCCAAAUAACAUGUACAGAAAUGCACAUAUGAGUGCAAAGUAUGUGAAAAGAACAUUAAAAAACAAAUUAUAUUAUGGAGAAUUGCUUUGCAAAAAUAUAUGUCUCAGGCAAGAAUGCAUACAGAAAUGUGUAUAUUAAGAUAAAGUUGCAAUAAAUGCCUAUGAAUUUUCUUGAGGACCUGUUUAAAAACAGCCAUAAGCAUGUGAAAAUGUGGAUAACUGGAUUUAAGACUGGGAAAAUGAGAAACCGAAAUUGACAGAUUUGCCAUCCCUGCUGGGAAGGUUCCCAUGCCUUGCUUGAGGAAGCUGGUUGUUGCUGGAGUCUUUCAUCCUUGGCAACUGCUCUGUGUACUCACUAGGAAACAAGCUCCCACGCUAUACCUCAUGUGAGAUAGUGUCUGCAUUUUCCCCUACACUGAGAUUAUCUUUCUCUAGGGAAGAAUGUAGUGCAUGCAACUGUCUUGAGUUAUACUUUCCCAAUAAAGGUUUAUCUUUUA